rnacentral:lncRNA from 1 species
GACGUUUUAUAAAGAAUUAAAUAAACAUUGUUGAUUAAUAAUUAUUAUAAGUAAUUUUUACGUAUUGACCAAAGAAUAUCACUUGGGAUUUUAUUGUACUUUCAUGGAAGGAUACAUACUCAGUAAUAUGCCUGUACAGUAUAGUGCCGUGAAGGGACAUCUAUGGAAACGAAAUUCUUCAUGUGUAAACAUGUAGUUAUCAAAGCAGAAUAUUUUGACAGUGACAGGUUGGUUUCCGUAUGUAUGUAGUUUAAAAUACAGUUGUGAAUGAAAUUAUACACAGUAUCUUGAAACCUUUGUGUGUGAGUUAAUUUCAUAUUUAUUUUUUUAGAUGUUUAUUUCUCAUUGUCUGGAAGAAGGGGGUAAUGGCGGGAGGGGGGGGGGAGGUACCAAUCAUGAGAAAUAAUAUCCAGUGAUCUUGAAAUAUGAGAAAUAAUAGAAGGAAUUAACAAAUUUAUUAGGAAUCUGAUAUAUAAAUGUAAGCAAAAACCAGACUUAGGAGUCUAAAGGCAAAUAAUAGUCUGUACUGGGUGUGCGUUCACCUAUUUGUUUACAUUUGCAGUUACAUUGGUUCAUGAUUUAUGAAAUUUGAUAAUUUUAGUCACGGCAACAAGUCACUAAUAAUUUUAGCUAAGGGUAAAUAGUUUUCUGAAAUACUUCAUAUGUCAGUUGUGUCUUAUAGUAUAUAAUAAAUAUCUUGGAAAAAAUGUGUAAUUGUACCCUGUCUAAUAGCUUUGGUUCAAUACAAUUGGCAAGAUCAGCAACUGGGCUGUCUUAGAAUUCAUGAAAGACCUUUGCUACAACCCCAAGAAAAACAUGCCUUGUAUCAGUUGUGACUGCUACCCUUUUUACAAAUAAUACACCGAUAGUUGAGCACUGAGAUUGAC